CAGUCGCCGCGGGAAUACGUAGGUCCCGAGCGUUGUCCGGAUUUAUUGGGCGUAAAGCGAGCGCAGGCGAUUUGAUAAGUCUGAAGUUAAAGGCUGUGGCUCAACCAUAGUUCGCUUUGGAAACUGUCAAACUUGAGUGCAGAAGGGGAGAGUGGAAUUCCAUGUGUAGCGGUGAAAUGCGUAGAUAUAUGGAGGAACACCGGUGGCGAAAGCGGCUCUCUGGUCUGUAACUGACGCUGAGGCUCGAAAGCGUGGGGAGCGAACAGGAUUAGAGACCCCUGUAGUCCCUGUCUCUUAUACA
rnacentral:rRNA from 1 species